UGCUGGGUGGAUUAGUGGCGAACGGGUGAGUAACACGUGAGCAACCUGCCCCUGACUCUGGGAUAAGCGCUGGAAACGGCGUCUAAUACUGGAUAUGUCCCAUCACCGCAUGGUGUGUGGGUGGAAAGAUUUUUCGGUUGGGGAUGGGCUCGCGGCCUAUCAGCUUGUUGGUGAGGUAAUGGCUCACCAAGGCGUCGACGGGUAGCCGGCCUGAGAGGGUGACCGGCCACACUGGGACUGAGACACGGCCCAGACUCCUACGGGAGGCAGCAGUGGGGAAUAUUGCACAAUGGGCGCAAGCCUGAUGCAGCAACGCCGCGUGAGGGAUGACGGCCUUCGGGUUGUAAACCUCUUUUAGCAGGGAAGAAGCGAAAGUGACGGUACCUGCAGAAAAAGCACCGGCUAACUACGUGCCAGCAGCCGCGGUAAUACGUAGGGUGCAAGCGUUAUCCGGAAUUAUUGGGCGUAAAGAGCUCGUAGGCGGUUUGUCGCGUCUGCUGUGAAAUUCCGAGGCUCAACCUCGGGCUUGCAGUGGGUACGGGCAGACUAGAGUGCGGUAGGGGAGAUUGGAAUUCCUGGUGUAGCGGUGGAAUGCGCAGAUAUCAGGAGGAACACCGAUGGCGAAGGCAGAUCUCUGGGCCGUAACUGACGCUGAGGAGCGAAAGGGUGGGGAGCAAACAGGCUUAGAUACCCUGGUAGUCCACCCCGUAAACGUUGGGAACUAGUUGUGGGGUCCUUUCCACGGAUUCCGUGACGCAGCUAACGCAUUAAGUUCCCCGCCUGGGGAGUACGGCCGCAAGGCUAAAACUCAAAGGAAUUGACGGGGACCCGCACAAGCGGCGGAGCAUGCGGAUUAAUUCGAUGCAACGCGAAGAACCUUACCAAGGCUUGACAUAUACGAGAACGGGCCAGAAAUGGUCAACUCUUUGGACACUCGUAAACAGGUGGUGCAUGGUUGUCGUCAGCUCGUGUCGUGAGAUGUUGGGUUAAGUCCCGCAACGAGCGCAACCCUCGUUCUAUGUUGCCAGCACGUAAUGGUGGGAACUCAUGGGAUACUGCCGGGGUCAACUCGGAGGAAGGUGGGGAUGACGUCAAAUCAUCAUGCCCCUUAUGUCUUGGGCUUCACGCAUGCUACAAUGGCCGGUACAAUGGGCUGCGAUACCGUAAGGUGGAGCGAAUCCCAAAAAGCCGGUCCCAGUUCGGAUUGAGGUCUGCAACUCGACCUCAUGAAGUCGGAGUCGCUAGUAAUCGCAGAAC
rnacentral:rRNA from 1 species